UUUUUAUUCCUUUUGUU
rnacentral:sRNA from 1 species